rnacentral:rRNA from 1 species
GCAGCAGUGGGGAAUUUUGGACAAUGGGCGCAAGCGUGAUCCAGCAAUGCCGCGUGCAGGAAGAAGGCCUUCGGGUGUAAACUGCUUUUGUACGGAAGGAAAAGGUCCUGUUUAAUACCGGGGGCUAAUGACGGUACCGUAAGAAUAAGCACCGGCUAAUUACGUGCCAGCAGCCGCGGUAAUACGUAGGGUGCGAGCGUUAAUCGGAAUUACUGGGCGUAAAGCGUGCGCGGGCGGUGAUGUAAGACAGGCGUGAAAUCCCCGGGCUCAACCUGGGAAUUGCGUUUGUGACUGCAGUGCUGGAGUACGGCAGAGGGGGAUGGAAUUCCGCGUGUAGCAGUGAAAUGCGUAGAUAUGCGGAGGAACACCGAUGGCGAAGGCAGUCCCCUGGGCCUGUACUGACGCUCAUGCACGAAAGCGUGGGGAGCAAACAGGAUUAGAUACCCUGGUAGUCCACGCCCUAAACGAUGUCAAAUGGUUGUUGGGAAUUUACCUUCUCAGUAACGCAGCUAACGCGUGAAGUUGACC